GAUGAACGCUGGCGGCGUGCCUAAUACAUGCAAGUCGAGCGAACGGACGAGAAGCUUGCUUCUCUGAUGUUAGCGGCGGACGGGUGAGUAACACGUGGAUAACCUACCUAUAAGACUGGGAUAACUUCGGGAAACCGUGGCUAAUACCGGAUAAUAUUUUGAACCGCAUGGUUCAAAAGUGAAAGACGGUCUUGCUGUCACUUAUAGAUGGAUCCGCGCUGCAUUAUCUAGUUGGUAAGGUAACGGCUUACCAAGGCAACGAUGCAUAGCCGACCUGAGAGGGUGAUCGGCCACACUGGAACUGAGACACGGUCCAGACUCCUACGGGAGGCAGCAGUAGGGAAUCUUCCGCAAUGGGCGAAAGCCUGACGGAGCAACGCCGCGUGAGUGAUGAAGGUCUUCGGAUCGUAAAACUCUGUUAUUAGGGAAGAACAUAUGUGUAAGUAACUGUGCACAUCUUGACGGUACCUAAUCAGAAAGCCACGGCUAACUACGUG
rnacentral:rRNA from 1 species